rnacentral:rRNA from 1 species
GACGUAGGGGCCAGCGUUGUUCGGAAUUACGUGGGUGUAAAGGGUUCGUAGGCGGUGGCGGCUAAGUCGGGAGUGAAAUCUGCUGGCCUCAACCCAGAGGCUGCUUCCGAAACUGCUGUGGCUUGAGUGUGGGAGAGGCGCGUAGGAAUUGCAGGUGUAGCGGUGAAAUGCGUAGAUAUCUGCAGGAACACCCGUGGCGAAAGCGGCGCGCUGGACCACUACAUGACGCUGGAAGAACGAAAGCCUAGGGGAGCAAACAGG